GACGAACGUUGGCGGCGUGCUUAAUACAUGCAAGUCAACUGAAGCACCGGUAGUAAUACUGGUGUGGAGGUGGCGCACGGGUGAGUAACACGUAGGUAAUCUGCCUUCAGGUCUGACAUAACCCCGAGAAAUCGGGGCUAAUAGCAGAUGAUGCAGCGGCUUGACAUCAAAGACAGUUGUUAAAGCUUCGGCGCCUGAAGAUGAGCCUGCGUCUGAUUAGCUAGUUGGCGGAGUAAUAGCCCACCAAGGCGACGAUCAGUAGCUGGUCUGAGAGGAUGAUCAGCCACACUGGAACUGAGACACGGUCCAGACUCCUACGGGAGGCAGCAGUAAGGAAUAUUGCUCAAUGGGAGAAAUCCUGAAGCAGCAACGCCGACGUGAGGGAUGAAGGGCGUUUGCUCGUAACCUCUGUAGUGA
rnacentral:rRNA from 1 species